rnacentral:rRNA from 1 species
UGCGAACGCUGGCGGCAGGCUUAAUACAUGCAAGUCGAGCGGGCAUAGCAAUAUGUCAGCGGCAGACGGGUGAGUAACGCGUGGGAACGUACCUUUUGGUUCGGAACAACACAGGGAAACUUGUGCUAAUACCGGAUAAGCCCUUACGGGGAAAGAUUUAUCGCCGAAAGAUCGGCCCGCGUCUGAUUAGCUAGUUUGUGAGGUAAUGGCUCACCAAGGCGACGAUCAGUAGAUUGUCUGAGAGGAUGAUCAGCCACAUUGGGACUGAGACACGACACCAAGUCCUACGCGAGGCAGCAGUGGCGAAUAUUGGACACUGGGCGCAAGCCUGAUCCAGCCAUGCCGCGUGACUGAUGAAGGCCAUAGGGUUGUAAAGCUCUUUUGUGCGGGAAGCUAAUGACGGUACCGAAAGAAUAAGCCCCGACUAACUUCGUGCCAGAAGCCGCAGUAA